UAAUGAGCGGAAUAUGGUGGAUGUAAUGGCAUGUGGCUUCCAAGACUAAGUCAUAGAAGGCACCGAGGCUUCCUCCUUGCUAGCUCUCUUGGAUCCCUCACACUGGGGAAGCCAGCUGCCUUGGUGUAAGGACAGGCAAAGCCCCUUAAGAAGAGGCCCACUCACAAGGAGCUGAGGCUUUCUACCAAAAACCAUGAGGCAGAAUUAGAAGGAGCUACAUAAAAAGAGAGAGACAUAGAAAGUGAUGAAAUAAGAACAAUGAAAAAAGGGUGAAAAGAAAUACAAAAGAAAUUAGGGAGAUGAAUGAUAAAAACUGAACUACAAGUUAAGGAAACUCUUCUGCAAAAAAUCCAAAGACGGAAUGUUUCACAGAAGAGAGAAUGAAAGUGAUCAUGGAUGGAGCUAUUAAAAUCAUGAAAACAUCAUGAACACACACUACCGGUGUGGAUCGCCACAGUGCUGAGUUUUUAGAUGACAUUCCCUACACCCCUUCCUCUUAUGAAGAGUUUCACAAAAGACGUCUUUAGAAGACAGGGUCUCAAGGGUGUAGUGGCAUGGUCAUGGCUCAUUGCAGCCUCAACCGCCCAGGCUCAAGUGAUCCUCCUACCACAGCCUCCGAAGUAGCCAGAACUAUAAGGUGGAGAGAGACGUUUAGAAAUUCCAACUUGCCAAAGUGUGCUAGUGAGAUCUUCAGUGACCAGUGCCUCAUUAUUCCUUCAUCAGUCUCCUGAAUCAUCAAUUUCUGCCUCUUCACUGGAUCACUCCAAGUACUAUAUGUACUAAUAUGCUAUGAUAUCUUAAUAAAAUCCUCCCUAAAAAUAUAGAUUUACUUAUUUAAUGAUACUUAUGUAGUGUUUACCAUGU